GCGGACGUGGUGUAUGGUGCACGGCUGCAUUCUGUGUAUGUGGAAGAUUUAUCUUGCACACAGCCGGACGGGGUUCGACUCCCCGCGUCCGCU